UACGUAGGGUGCAGGCGUUAAUCGGAAUUACUGGGCGUAAAGCGUGCGCAGGCGGUUUCUUAAGUCAGAUGUGAAAGCCCCGGGCUUAACCUGGGAACUGCGUUGGUGACUGGCAGGCUUUGAGUGUGGCAGAGGGAGGUAGAAUUCCACGUGUAGCAGUGAAAUGCGUAGAGAUGUGGAGGAAUACCGAUGGCGGAAGGCAGCCUCCUGGGCCAACACUGACGCUCAUGCACGAAAGCGUGGGGAGCAAACAGG
rnacentral:rRNA from 1 species